rnacentral:tRNA from 1 species
CAAAUUAAAGCUUUAAAGAAGCGUUUUAUUUACACUAAAGAGAUUAUUCUAGUAGAUGUGGUUUGA